AGGCCAGAAGGGGCUGCCAACAUCUGCUUCCCAUUACCCGGGGGAGGGACUUCACCACCAGCCGCUGGUAACAGGAGACCCUGGCCUCUGAUUUAUGGCCCAUUUGGAAGGAGGCCUCGGAGCAAUUACUUGUUGGAUUGAGCCAGGCGAGGGGCUAGAGCUUUGCAAAGCGGAAAGCAGCCCCUGGCUGGCAGCGCUUUCUCCCCAGGAAGACAGGGACUAUCCACUCAGGAUCCAACAUAUCAGAGGAGGACUCCAGGAAGUCAUUCUACCACCUCUGCCUCCCUGCUGACGAAUCCGAUAUUUGGUUGAACAUUCCUACUUCAAAAUUCCAAAAUCUGAAGCAGUCCAAAAUCUGAAACUUUUGGGGCACUGACAUGAAGCCACAAAUAGAAAAUUCCACAUACUCCUUGGAUUUCGUGGUCCCAGGCUGAGAAAGCUUGGGGUAGAGAAAUAGGGCUGAGGGCAAAUCGCUGGCUGCAGCCGUGCUGUGGAAGCAAUGUGCCAGAAACCCUGACAAUGAACCGCUGUCUCUGACUAAUUGUUCUAGUGGAGAUGUCUCCUGUUUGACUUGAUUUUAAACUGUGGAGCACGUCAAGAGAAAGCUCACUGAUCUGCCGAGGGUUUGUGCUUUUCUGUCUUCAUGCAUCUGUUGUGGGUGAAGAGAGCAAAGAUUCUUCAUUCAAUCAAAGGCCCCCUUUGGAGAUGCUGAGAAGGAAAUUUCCUUUGGAAAUUCCCAAAGGUAGGUUCUUUGGGGAAGUGAGAACUCUGCUGCUUCAACCUUAGCCCAGCCUGCCCUCCUGGUGGGAAAGACCAGCCGUGUCUUGGCUUCCAAAGAACCAGGAGACAGAAGGAAUUUAUGGCUGGAAGCCCAGCAUGGUCGUGUCCCCUGGGCCCAGUUGCUUCCCCUCUGUGGUUUCCAUAUCUAUGUGUUAAGAGAAAGCAUCUGAAACUUUGAAAUAAGGAAGAAGAUGACUGCGUGUCCUUUGAAUGCCACAUUAAAGCACUGUCAGACAGGCCCUGCCCAAUGGCAAUUUAAUUCUUCAGGGCACGGGCCAAAUCUGGCUGCUGCCUGUUUUUGUAAAUAAAGUUCUAUUGGAACACAGCCACACCCAUUCGCGUACAGAUUGUCUGUGCUGCUUUCAUUUUGCAACCACGGCUGCAUUUGAGUGGUUGCAACAGAGACCAUAUGGCCCACAAAGCUGAAGAUUAUUUACUGUCUGCCCCUUUAUCGAGCACUUUUGCUGACCCUGCUCAAGGGAGGGGAAUAUACUUUUCUGUGAUUUACUCUUUACUACCGGUUCAGGCCCAGACUCUGGAAAGUGUGAUGCUAAUUUCUGGAAGAUUGAUAACUUGCAAAUGAUUUCAGUCCAGUAGUCAUGAAAAUGAUUUCUGUCCAGUGUAAAAGAUACCCUCGAAGAAUACGAUUUUAUUGACCCUCAGGACAUUCAUCAUUUCUGAGUCUGACUUUGCUGUCUUAGUUCAGCAAUCUUUCUGUCCUCCAAUGCAGUUACUUUGGUCUUUCCCGUAAGGCUUUGAACUGGUUUUCUCGUCCUGCUGGUCGCCCCACUCAUAGGUUAAAGAGAUCCUUGACAUGUGCUCAUUUACUAUUUGUGAAAGAGUCACAUUCUUACUUUUUUGAGAAUUAUACAUUGACAUGAGGACAUGGGACCAGAUCAGGGGUUAGCAAACUGUGCCCUGGGGAACCCUGAGUGUCUUGGGGAAACCCGAAGUCCCUUAGGUGAACUAUAAGAAGAUAAGGAGGAGAGAAGUUAGAGUCCCUUACCUCUUCAUCAACCAGAAAAGCUCCACUUACAAACCUCCCUUCUGUUUUGUGGUUUUAAACGUAAAAUUCCUUGAAAAAAA
rnacentral:lncRNA from 1 species